rnacentral:rRNA from 1 species
UGGGGAAUAUUGGACAAUGGGCGCAAGCCUGAUCCAGCAAUGCCGCGUGUGUGAAGAAGGCCUUCGGGUUGUAAAGCACUUUUAUCAGGAGCGAAACGCUGUCGGCUAAUACCCGGCGGAACUGACGGUACCUGAGGAAUAAGCACCGGCUAACUUCGUGCCAGCAGCCGCGGUAAUACGAAGGGUGCAAGCGUUAAUCGGAAUUACUGGGCGUAAAGCGUGCGUAGGCGGUUUCUUAAGUCUGCUGUGAAAUCCCCGGGCUCAACCUGGGAAUGGCAGUGGAUACUGGGAGGCUAGAGUGUGUCGGAGGGUGGUGGAAUUCCCGGUGUAGCGGUGAAAUGCGUAGAGAUCGGGAGGAACAUCAGUGGCGAAGGCGGCCACCUGGGACAACACUGACGCUGAGGCACGAAAGCGUGGGGAGCAAACAGGAUUAGAUACCCUGGUAGUCCACGCCCUAAACGAUGCGAACUGGAUGUUGGUCUCAACUCGGAGAUCAGUGUCGAAGCUAACGCGUUAAGUUCGCCGCCU